rnacentral:rRNA from 1 species
AGAGAUGCACUGGGUUUAAAGCGUGCGCAGGCGGUUUUGUAAGACAGAGGUGAAAUCCCCGGGCUCAACCUGGGAACUGCCUUUGUGACUGCAAGGCUGGAGUGCGGCAGAGGGGGAUGGAAUUCCGCGUGUAGCAGUGAAAUGCGUAGAUAUGCGGAGGAACACCGAUGGCGAAGGCAAUCCCCUGGGCCUGCACUGACGCUCAUGCACGAAAGCGUGGGGAGCAAACA